ACCACUGGGCAAGACGCUCUGACUCAACACCUGCUGCCAGGGAUGUGGCAUAGAAGAAUGGACAAAUGAGACACUGACAAGAUAAGGUCAGUCUUUCUCCUCCACAGGGAGAAUUUCACAUUAUGGGCCCAGCAGCCAAGACUGAUGCUGUCCUGACACCUGUCCUGCCAACACUAUGAAGACUAUAGGAGCCUGGGAUGAUGGCAGUCUGGGUUUCCACUUGGCUGACAGAUACAUCCAAGCAUCAUUUGCUGGUGACAACCUACUGCAAAUGACUAUGAGCCCUGAACUUGCUGAAAGCUGAUAUGGACCAAUUCAGCCGAUACGCAUACCAUCUCUUCAGCUGGUCAAUAAAACAUUCCCUCUUGUCUUUGA